GCUGCCCCACAUUUGGCAGAACAGCACAGGAACACUCAUGCACUCCCAAAGUACGCGAAAUGGGACACAGCCAGGUUCACGACCUUUUCACAAAAUGCUAGCGUCAUGUCAAGCCUGCACAGCGGCAUGUCUUGGGUGUAGGUCCUGGUUACGGCCUGCACCGGCGAGUGGAGCCUGAGCGCCUCCCUGAUGCACAUGGUGGUGAAAGGAAGGUUGGACAGAUCUUCCCUGUGCAAGAACACCUGUCUCCAGCACCUCCGUCCUGCAUUUGUCUUGAAAGUGUGUGUGGCGUGCUAAAUUGUACAACGUCCAGCAAAUGGCGCUGGCCGUGGUGUCGUGACCUGCAGAAGAAGACGCUCACGGUCUGUUCUGACGGACUCUUGAUUCUGUGCGCGUCUCACCUGCAAACAUGAAGGUGUUGGCCUCCGCUUCGAUCUCCUCGUCUGUUAAACCGUGCCCGUCUCCAUCCUGAGAUAAGCAUCAGCGUCAUUUCAUCAUGCUCUUUGCUUCUGUGUGCCAUCGUGCAAACCUUGGAUAACAGGAUGAUGUCCACAAAAUCCCUUUUCCGAUGCGGGGUGGAGGUGGACUCAGACUGGUCGAUGAGCGCAUGGCGCCUCUGAACCACUUCUCUUGUGAACCUGCAUGAGGUCACGACGUCACCGUGCUGUAUUUGUACCACCUGCACGUGUGUGUUACCUGUGCACAACGUUCAAAGCCUUCUUGAACCGUUUCCCCUGCCGCGUCUUCCAGUAAACCCAGUCCCAGUGAUGCAGAAUGUUCUGGCGCCGCUCGAUGAGGAGGUCACUCAACUCCACGAUGGCUGACACGUACUCACUGCGGGACCUGCAGAGACAUGGAGGUUUCAAGAAAAAAAAAAGGCAGCGGGGAUGAGUCGAGGGCGGGUCCUCACUCCUGACAGUUGCUGCUGUAACUGAAGGCGCAUUUCAGCAAACUGUCCAAAGUCAUCAACGUGACGUGGUCGAACAUCUCGAUGGUGGUGCGCCCCUCCGCCACCAGACGCUGCCACUUUUCCUGUGCACACAAGACGGCUUGUUUUUUCAUGGGGAAGGGAACCACACUUUUCAAGAUCCUUCUGGUCAACACAUUCAGACAUUCUGGCUGCGUCUCAAAUGGAAAACACGGAUCCCCACACAGUCGCAAUUUUUUCUCUGUGUAUAACUCGAUACAAUGUAUAUGUUGUUCAUAUCCAUCCAUCCGUCUUCUUUUGCUGGGUCAACAGCCUAAGCAGUGAAGGUCAGACUUCCCUCUCCCUAGCUACUCGCGGUGGAUUCCGAGGCGUUCCCGGUCCAGUGGAGAGACAUAGUCUCGCCAACGUGUCCUGGGUCUUCCCCAAGGCCUCCUACCGAGUGCACUCAGUAUGGAAGUGCGCCAGUUUAGACACAGCCUCUGAUUCCGCCUCGGCGUCUUUUUGCCUUACGUGCAUGGUGUCUGCUGAAGCGUUAAAUGUGGCAACGUAGUUCCUCAGUAUGUCAAAAUGAAACGCUG